UACGUGGGGUGCGAGCGUUAAUCGGAAUUACUGGGCGUAAAGCGUGCGCAGGCGGUUUUGUAAGCCAGAUGUGAAAUCCCCGGGCUCAACCUGGGAAUGGCAUUUGGGACUGCAAGGCUGGAGUUUGGCAGAGGAGACUGGAAUUCCUGGUGUAGCAGUGAAAUGCGUAGAUAUCAGGAGGAAUACCGAUGGCGAAGGCAGGUCUCUGGGCUAUAACUGACGCUCAUGCACGAAAGCGUGGGGAGCAAACAGG
rnacentral:rRNA from 1 species